GAGCGAGAAAGGGGGGGCAACUCCCUGAGUAAAGCGGCGCACGGGUGAGUAACACGUGGGUAAUCUGCCCUGAAGUGGGGAAAAACAUCGGGAAACCGGUGCUAAUACCGCAUACGAUCACGAUGUCUGCGGAUGUUGUGAUGAAAGGAGCAAUUCGCUUCAGGAGGAGCCCGCGGCUGAUUAGCUAGUUGGUGAGGUAACGGCUCACCAAGGCUACGAUCAGUAUCCGGUCUGAGAGGACGGUCGGACACACUGGAACUGAGACACGGUCCAGACUCCUACGGGAGGCAGCAGUGGGGAAUUUUUGGCAAUGGGGGCAACCCUGACCAAGCAACGCCGCGUGGGUGAUGAAGUCUCUUGGGACGUAAAACCCUUUCGACGGGGACGAAACCGCAAGGUUGACGGUACCCGUAGAAGAAGCCCCGGCUAACUCCGUG
rnacentral:rRNA from 1 species